rnacentral:rRNA from 1 species
CACGUAGGCGGAAUAGUAAGUUAGGGGUGAAAUCCCGGGGCUCAACCUCGGAACUGCCCUUGAUACUGCUAAUCUCGAGUCCGAGAGAGGUGAGUGGAAUUCCUAGUGUAGAGGUGAAAUUCGUAGAUAUUAGGAAGAACACCAGUGGCGAAGGCGGCUCACUGGCUCGGUACUGACGCUGAGGUGCGAAAGCGUGGGGAGCAAACA